rnacentral:misc_RNA from 1 species
AAGUCAACCACCAAGGUAGCCAAUGCAGCCAUCAUAGCGAUAAAACCAGCAAAAGGGAAUUUCGACCAAGGAGAUUUCGGAAGACAAGGAUUAGUUAACGAUGAAGUGGCACCUGGUAACAUGUGUACAAAACCUGUGGCGAGGAUGACACCAGCAGCGAAGGCUUUAGCAGUAAAAAAUAGAUUAGAGUCAGUUCGAAGGAAUCGGUG